rnacentral:rRNA from 1 species
UACGUAGGGGGCAAGCGUUGUCCGGAUUUAUUGGGCGUAAAGAGCGUGUAGGCGGCCAUGUAGGUCCGUUGUGAAAACUCGAGGCUCAACCUCGAGACGCCGGUGGAAACCGUAAAGCUAGAGUCCGGAAGAGGAGAGUGGAAUUCCUGGUGUAGCGGUGAAAUGCGCAGAUAUCAGGAGGAACACCCGUGGCGAAAGCGGCUCUCUGGGACGGUACUGACGCUGAGACGCGAAAGCGUGGGGAGCAAACAGG